AGGUCAUUUCAAAGAGGGCUCAUGGGGCUAUGAAACUAGGAGCUCUUAACUCUACGACCAAAGCCUGCAUUCUUCCUAGGAUGCUAUAGUCACUCAAUAGGGCUAAGUUUUUAUGAGGAGAUAUAACA